UACGAAGGGUGCAAACGUUGCUCGGAAUUAUUGGGCGUAAAGAGCUCGUAGGCGGUUCGACAAGUCGGGUGUGAAAACUCCGGGCUCAACCCGGAGACGCCACCCGAUACUGUCGUGACUGGAGUCCGGUAGGGGAGUGGGGAAUUCCUGGUGUAGCGGUGAAAUGCGCAGAUAUCAGGAGGAACACCGGUGGCGAAGGCGCCACUCUGGGCCGGUACUGACGCUGAGGAGCGAAAGCGUGGGUAGCAAACAGG
rnacentral:rRNA from 1 species